CCAAUAGCGUAUAUUAAAGUUGUUGCAGUUAAAAAGCUCGUAGUUGAAUUUCGGGAUCAAUAUGUCGGUCGUGCCUUCGGUACGUACUGGUAUCAUUGGUCUCUCCUUUCUGACGAACCAUGAUGUCAUUAAUUUGGUGUUAUGGGGAGUUAGGACUGUUACUUUGAAAAAAUUAGAGUGUUUAAAGCAGGCUUUAGCUUGAAUACAUUAGCAUGGAAUAAUGAAAUAGGACGUUCGAACCUAUUUUGUUGGUUUCUAGGAUCAACGUAAUGAUUAAUAGGGAUAGUUGGGGGCAUUAGUAUUCAAUUGUCAGAGGUGAAAUUCUUGGAUUUAUUGAAGACUAACUACUGCGAAAGCAUUUGCCAAGGAUGUUUUCAUUAAUCAAGAACGAAAGUUAGGGGAUCGAAGACGAUCAGAUACCGUCGUAGUCUUAACCAUAAACUAUGCCGACUAGGAAUCAGACGAUGUUAAUUUUUUAAUGACUCGUUUGGCACCUUACG
rnacentral:misc_RNA from 1 species